GGAGAAAGUGAGUUGAGCACCAGCAUCCA
rnacentral:piRNA from 1 species